rnacentral:tRNA from 2 species
UAUCUGGUUAGUUUAUAUUUAAAAUGUUAAAUUGUGGAUUUAAUGAGGAGUUAUCACUAGAUAA